UAAGGCACGCUUAGGGGAUAGUGAGAUUAUUGUGCAUAUCAAUAGUAUUAUCUUUGGAUAUACAGGUAGCCCUAGUCUUAUCUUUAUAAUUUACAGCACGUGUGUUAAUGGAGAAGACAGACCACACUUGACAAGUUUUAGCGCAAGAGAAGAUUAUAUAUAUAUAUGGAAAGUAUCUUCAGUACUAUUGUAGUGCGAGCAAUGAGGAUCUUAUAGCAGUUAUGUUUCAUUGAUGGAGCAUAUGCGAGUAGGCAGUCGAUCAUGGAGUAGGAGCCAAAGGAAGAAUUUAUGCUUAUUGAGGCAAUUGCCUUUCCAGAUCCACUGGGAUGACAAUAACUAAAUAAAGUGGAUAGAACUAGAGAGAGAUCAAUUAAGAUGGGGUAUCACUAUGGUAGGCGCAAAUAUGGAUCCAAUCUUGACAUGCUCUAAUAGGCUUGCUGGUAAGUUCUUGGAGCCUUGGGUACUGCCCGAAGUAUAUACUGAACUGGAGAGUUGUAAUUUUACGAACCAAAGGGUAAGGAAAGUAAAGAAGGUGGCAAAGCUAGUGAAGGUAGAGAGAUGAAUGUUGAACAUUGGUUCCAUGUUUGCAGGUGCUUGGGUAGCAGCAAUGAGCAGAAUAUGGCGAACUGAUGCCAAAAGAGAGAAGAUUGCAUUGAGUAGGCAUCUUGAAAAGCAUUAGUUAUUUGACAACACAAGUUACUAGACUUAAAAUAAACUAGUUAAUGGAUUCAAAUUGUAUAUUUAUUUCUUUUAUGGUGCUGAAACUCGAAAAUUGUGAAUUUGUCAUUUUUGCUUAUUGUGGA